rnacentral:rRNA from 1 species
AUUGAACGCUGGCGGCAUGCCUUACACAUGCAAGUCGAACGGCAGCACGGGUGCUUGCACCUGGUGGCGAGUGGCGAACGGGUGAGUAAUACAUCGGAACGUACCUUAUCGUGGGGGAUAACGCAGCGAAAGUUGCGCUAAUACCGCAUACGCCCUGAGGGGGAAAGCGGGGGAUCGCAAGACCUUGCGUUAUACGAGCGGCCGAUGUCAGAUUAGCUAGUUGGUGAGGUAAAGGCUCACCAAGGCGACGAUCUGUAGCGGGUCUGAGAGGAUGAUCCGCCACACUGGGACUGAGACACGGCCCAGACUCCUACGGGAGGCAGCAGUGGGGAAUUUUGGACAAUGGGGGCAACCCUGAUCCAGCCAUGCCGCGUGAGUGAAGAAGGCCUUCGGGUUGUAAAGCUCUUUCGGCCGGGAAGAAAUCGCACAGGCUAAUACUCUGUGUGGAUGACGGUACCGGCAUAAGAAGCACCGGCUAACUACGUGCCAGCCGCCGCCGUAA